GGAUUGCCUCAGUAACGGCGAGUGAAGCGGCAACAGCUCAAAUUUGAAAUCUGGCCCUUUCAGGGUCCGAGUUGUAAUUUGUAGAGAGUGUUUCGGGUGAGAUCACGGUCUAAGUCCAUUGGAACAUGGCGUCAUAGAGGGUGAGAAUCCCGUAUGUGACUGUGGAUCGAGCCCAUGUGAAGCCUCUUCGACGAGUCGAGUUGUUUGGGAAUGCAGCUCAAAAUGGGUGGUAAAUUUCAUCUAAAGCUAAAUACUGGCUGGAGACCGAUAGCGCACAAGUAGAGUGAUCGAAAGAUGAAAAGCACUUUGGAAAGAGAGUCAAACAGUACGUGAAAUUGUUGAAAGGGAAGCGCUUGCAACCAGACCUGUCCGUAGGUGAUCAGCCGCUGUUCUCAGUGGUGCACUCGCUCUACGAUCAGGCCAGCAUCGGUUCUGGCGGUCGGAUAAAGGCCUUGGGAAUGUAGCUUCCUCCGGGGAGUCUUAUAGCCCUCGGUGCAGUGCGGNCAGCCGGGACCGAGGACCGCGCUUCGGCUAGGAUGCUGGCGUAAUGGUUGUAAGCGACCCGUCUUGAAACACGGACCAAGGAGUCUAACAUCUAUGCGAGUGUUUGGGUGUCAAACCCUUGCGCGGAAUGAAAGUGAACGGAGGUGAGAACCCUUAAGGGCGCAUCAUCGACCGAUCCAGAUGUCUUCGGAUGGAUUUGAGUAUGAGCAUAGCUGUUGGGACCCGAAAGAUGGUGAACUAUGCCUGAAUAGGGUGAAGCCAGAGGAAACUCUGGUGGAGGCUCGCAGCGGUUCUGACGUGCAAAUCGAUCGUCAAAUUUGGGUAUAGGGGCGAAAGACUAAUCGAACCAUCUAGUAGCUGGUUCCUGCCGANGUUUCCCUCAGGAUAGCAGUAACGUUUUCAGUUUUAUGAGGUAAAGCGAAUGAUUAGAGGCCUUGGGGUUGAAACAACCUUAACCUAUUCUCAAACUUUAAAUAUGUAAGAAGUCCUUGUUACUUAGUUGAACGUGGACAUUUGAAUGCACCGUUACUAGUGGGCCAUUUUUGGUAAGCAGAACUGGCGAUGCGGGAUGAACCGAACGCGAGGUUAAGGUGCCGGAAUGUACGCUCAUCAGACACCACAGAAAGGUGACGUACGCGGGAGAGGCCCUUAUCGUUCGGCGUCCUCGGGGGGAAAUGUGGUGUCGUGCCCCUACAGGCUUCGAGUCUUGGGGAACAGUCUCGUUGCAGGCGAGGUCUUUGAUUUGCAGGGGCUCGCUUUGAUUAGCCUACCCUUAGCCGUUUUCAACGGCCCACAGAUCAAGCAAAGGCCGGUGGUCGGGCUAUCGACCGCUUAAGAUAUGAUCGGCUUCCAGGCUGCAAGCUUGGAAAUCAUGCGCAAAAGGUGUUGAUUCAUCUAGACAGCCGGACGGUGGCCAUGGAAGUCGGAAACCGCUAAGGAGUGUGUAACAACUCACCGGCCGAAUGAAUCAGCCCUGAAAAUGGAUGGCGCUCAAGCGUGCUACCCAUACCUCGCCGCCAGGGUAGAAACGAUGCCCUGGCGAGUAGGCAGGCGUGGGGGUCAG
rnacentral:rRNA from 1 species